GGCCGGGCCAGGGCGCACGCGCGCCGCCGCCGCCGCCGGGCGCGUUCUGAGUCUGGGCGGGGCCGGUGGUCGCGCAGGCGCGCGCCUACCCGGUGGGGAGUGACGCGGAGGCUCCCCUGGGAUCCCGGUCACCAAAACUCCCGCAGGCCUUUCCCCGGGGAGACUGGGGGCCUGUUACCAGCAGUCGCCGCCCAGCCUUGACUGCCUGGGUGAAUCAGGUGCUAAUCAGAGCCUUGGGCUUGGCAGCUCCCCUGUCUGGGUUUUCUGAGUGCGCCCGAUUUAGGCUGGGUGGGGGGAUUCCUACGGCCCUGCCCCACCCACGAAGACCGAGAAGGCUCACCCGGUGGCGAAAGGUGGGCUCGGUGACUCAUCUCUGAGAUGACCUCACCUCCCGACCCCAGCGGAGCAGAUGUCCGGAUUUGAGACCUCAUACCGUGACUUUGGACGGCUAGUGCGUUCCCUUCUUCAGAUUAUAAACUGGCUCGAGUAGGUGCAUGGGUGUGUUGAUUCAAGUGCUUCUGGAAAGCCCCUUCCCUUGCUAAGCACCACGGUCAUGUCCACAUCGUGUUUCUGCCUGGAGUGGAAUACUCUCUAACACAACUGUCUGUCCAGAAAGAGAGCGGGCGUCCAGUCGACUGCUUGACCAUGAGGAUGGGCCCUUCAAUGACCUCAGCCUUUAAAAGGCCGCUGAUUUCCAGCCCUCCACACACUCUCCUGAAUAUGAGCUUGGUUUCCUCCUUCCACUUAAGAAGUUUGGAGACCUCAGAUCUCAGAGCACUGACUUCUGAAGAGGGUGGUGUCAGGGGAAGACACCAAGAGGAAUGAACACCCAGGCAGGCUCGUCUGGGCGCACAGACAGUUGCACUCUCUGCAGUUCUAUCUUCAUGAUCUCCGAACCCUCAUGAAAUCCUAUUCAGAGUGGCCACAUGACUGCGAUCCAGUGGCGAGGGAUAUUCCCUGAGUGUCCCGAGUCAGAGGGUCCCGUUGGUCUGCAUUCACCACACCUGCGCAUCCACUGCCCUCUUGGAGGCACACUUCUGCUUCUUCAAAUGCCUUUGGGGCUGGGGCAGCCCAAAGCGGCAGAGAGAAGGAAAGCGCUGCCCCCUUCAGAGAAACUGCCCCCAUCUGCUAAGGGUUGCUUUGCAGCUCUUCCCUACUGAAGAGCUCGUGUUGGUCAGCUCUGUUUGUUUGUUUUCUUCCCCUUUUAUGUGAAACAGAAAUUGAAUGGA
ensembl:lncRNA